GAGUGAAAAAGAACCUGAAACCGUGUACGUACAAGCAGUGGGAGCCCCACCACCAAAGCAUUCUCUGGUGUUGAAGGCCCUGCAAAGCAGCAUCGCGGUGGCGGAGCGUCGUUUGCGACGCCCAACACACAAAACAAGCGGUGAGUGCUUUGGGGUGGGGUGACUGCGUACCUUUUGUAUAAUGGGUCAGCGACUUAUAUUCUGUAGCAAGGUUAACCGUAUAGGGGAGCCGCAGGGAAACCGAGUCUUAACCGGGCGUUAAGUUGCAGGGUAUAGACCCGAAACCCGGUGAUCUAGCCAUGGGCAGGUUGAAGGUUGGGUAACACUAACUGGAGGACCGAACCGACUAAUGUUGAAAAAUUAGCGGAUGACCUGUGGCUGGGGGUGAAAGGCCAAUCAAACCGGGAGAUAGCUGGUUCUCCCCGAAAGCUAUUUAGGUAGCGCCUCGUGAAUUCAUCUCCGGGGGUAGAGCACUGUUUCGGCUAGGGGGCCAUCCCGGCUUACCAACCCGAUGCAAACUGCGAAUACCGGAGAAUGUUAUCACGGGAGACACACGGCGGGUGCUAACGUCCGUCGUGAAGAGGGAAACAACCCAGACCGCCAGCUAAGGUCCCAAAGUCAUGGUUAAGUGGGAAACGAUGUGGGAAGGCCCAGACAGCCAGGAUGUUGGCUUAGAAGCAGCCAUCAUUUAAAGAAAGCGUAAUAGCUCACUGGUCGAGUCGGCCUGCGCGGAAGAUGUAACGGGGCUAAACCAU
rnacentral:rRNA from 1 species